rnacentral:rRNA from 1 species
UACGUAGGGUGCAAGCGUUAAUCGGAAUUACUGGGCGUAAAGCGUGCGCAGGCGGUGAUGUAAGACAGAUGUGAAAUCCCCGGGCUCAACCUGGGAACUGCAUUUGUGACUGCAUCGCUGGAGUACGGCAGAGGGGGAUGGAAUUCCGCGUGUAGCAGUGAAAUGCGUAGAGAUGCGGAGGAACACCGAUGGCGAAGGCAGCCCCCCGGGCCAAUACUGACGCUGAGGCGCGAAAGCGUGGGGAGCAAACAGG